GUGCUCGCCUGGCUGGAGCCUCUGGGAGGCCACAGGGGAAGGGCUCCGCUGCCAGAGGUGCAAGCCAGGAGUUGAAGUAGCACCUGGAGGCCAGGAACCUGGUGGCUGUUAAGAGCGCUGGCCACCAGAUGUCGCUGUGGCCACACCAGCCUCCCCGCCCUGACUCAGCCCACCUCCCACCUGUCUGACUUGCUCACCCUCACGGUUCCUAUUCUGCCUCUCUGGACACCUAGGAAUAUGUUCCCAUCACACCCUCCAGCAUUAAAGUUAUGGGGCGUGAUGGGAAGACAGACUCUCGGAGAGGGGACCAUGCUUCUCUCCCACAGCAGUUCCCGCAGGUCAACGUCCCGGCCCCCUCAACACCUGCCCUGCUCCGUCCUCACCGAUUCACCGGCCGCUCCGUGUCCAGCAGCUUGAGGAUGGAUUUCCCGUCCAUAUCCGCAG